rfam:Cathartes aura contig70124, whole genome shotgun sequence.
UUGUUACAAUGUUUGAGACAUUGACAGACAUUAACUCUUCCAGUCCCUCACAAGCUGUCCUCAAGAUGAUCUUAGCGUCCAUGAUUAAUUAAACCCCACAAAAGCUAAGACACAAACUGGGAUUAGUUACCCUACUAUGCCUAGCCCUAAAUCUUGAUACUUACCCUACCGAAGUAUCUGUCCAAGAAGUGUGAGCACAAACACUUAAUCCUCUAAGGACUUGGUGGUACCCCAAACCCACCUAGAGGAGACUUUGUAAUCAAUAACCCACAAUACAUCCAACCGCUCCUUGCCAGGACAGCCUACAUACUGCUGUCACCAGCUCACCUCUCCUGAGAGUAUAACAGUAUACUAAUCCUAACCCUGCUAACAAGACAGGUCAAGGUAUAGCUCAUGGGGCGAAAGAAAUGGGCUACAUUUUCUAAAAUAGAAAACUUCACUGAAGGGGAUGUGAAAUCAUCCCUAGAAGGCAGAUUUAGCAGUAAAGCGGGACAAUGGAGCCUCAUUUAAGUCAGCACUGGGCAUGUACAUACUGCCUGUCACCCUCCUCACAAGCUAUAAGCCCUCAUAGCUAAUGCACACAUCAGCUGAAGAUGAGGUAAGUCAUAACAAGGUAAGUGUACUGGAAGGUGCACUUAGCAUAACAAGCCUU